rnacentral:rRNA from 1 species
UACGGGGGGAGCAAGCGUUGUUCGGAUUUACUGGGCGUAAAGGGCGCGUAGGCGGCCUUCUAAGUCGAACGUGAAAUCCCCGGGCUCAACCCGGGAACUGCGUCCGAUACUGGAAGGCUUGAAUCCGGGAGAGGGAUGCGGAAUUCCAGGUGUAGCGGUGAAAUGCGUAGAUAUCUGGAGGAACACCGGUGGCGAAGGCGGGUCUCUGGGCAGUAACUGACGCUGAGGAGCGAAAGCGUGGGGAGCGAACAGG